rnacentral:misc_RNA from 1 species
UCCUAUUUAGUAGGCGGUCUGGCUAGAGCGGUUCAACUAGCCACGAGGGUUGCGCUCGUUGCGGGACUUAACCCAACAUCUCACGACACGAGCUGACGACAGCCAUGCAACAUCUGUGAACUUGUCCGAAGAGGAGACUGUUUCCAGCCUUUACAAGCCCAUGUCAAGCCCAGGUAAGGUUCUUCGCGUUGCAUCGAAUUAAACCACACGCUCCGCUGCUUGUGCGGGGCCCCGUCAAUUCCUUUGAGUUUUAGCCUUGCGGCCGUACUCCCCAGGCGGGGUGCUUAAUGCGUUAGCUUCGGCACGGAGGGAGUCGACACCCCCCACACCUAGCACCCAUCGUUUACGGCGUGGACUAC